CCAGCUCCUGUGCCUUCAAGAGCUCCUGUUUAAAGUAGGUCCAACCAUCCUGGACCCCUUUGUUCUCAAGGACUGUGUGAGCAGACUCUGCCACAGUGUAGUUGCUGUUUGUGCAGUGAAGCCUUUAGUUCUUGAUUUUGAAAUGAUGGCAGUGGAGACAAAAAACCUGACAGUGCCAGGGGAGUUUAGCAUGUGUUGGGUUAAAGGUCGAGGCUGUGCUCCCUGUAAAAGGCUUUUGGUGUGUGUUUGUGUGGUUUUUAACAUCGUUUUACUUCUGAGAUGUAUUUAAUGUGCCUUCCUUUCUACUUUCCAACUGCAGAGCUGUUGCUUCUCACUUGCAGCACACUCUCAGAGGACAGGUAACUGGAUUUUGUUUCCGUUCCAAUGGUCUGUUGUAGCAGAAGGAAGCUGUGGCUGCCUGAGCCUGAGACUCAACAUCUGGGAGAGUUGGGAGAUACCCUGGAUGCCUGUGAGGGUAAAGGGAUCUGAUACACAUCUUAGGGCAAUGUGUCUGCAUUCUGCAAUCCCUCUAAGAACAGAUGCUGGCUUUGUAGAAUGUCUCUGUAGGAGGUGUGAAAGGAAUUGGGAUUCUCAUCUGCCUGGACACAGAAACUCUGCUGUCUUUCGCAUGGCAGGGGAGUGAUGAUGCAGCAGAGGAGCAGGUGAGUGAGGCAUGGGGCAGCCUCCUGAAAAGGCUGCUUGCAGCCUCAGAUGUUUGCAAUGCUUGAGAAUCCUUGGCAAGCAUUAAAAACAUUAAACCCUGUAAGUGUUAGCCUGUGGUGUUCCAACAGAUCAAAAGCUCUCCUUUUUAAUCUAGGUAUACAAGAGUGGUAUUGGUGUGUAAAAGAGACUUGGAAAUGCCCCCCCAUCUCCUCUAUGAUAUGUAAAGGCUUCUAGAAAAUAAAACCAACUCCUAGGUUGAAUUAUGAAAUAUAACUUGUGUAUAUGUAAAUUGAAA